rnacentral:rRNA from 1 species
AGAGCGAACGCUGGCGGCGUGCUUAACACAUGCAAGUCGAACGCGCAGCAUUCUGUAGCAAUACAGGGUGUGGGCGCGUGGCGAACGGGUGCGUAACACGUGGAUAACCUUCCUUGAGGUGGGGAAUAACCCAGUGAAAAUUGGGCUAAUACCGCAUAACAUCGCGAUGGCACAUGCUGAUGCGAUCAAAGGCGGCAAGUCGCCACAAGAGGGAUCCGCGGCCGAUUAGCUUGUUGGCGAGGUAAUGGCUCACCAAGGCAAUGAUCGGUA